UUCCCUUUCUCUCUAUUGUCGUCUGUUGCCGAGUUCUUCUUCUGUGUGGUUUCAGUUUCCCAUGGAUUGUUGAACAGCCAAAGUCUCUUUCUCUUCCUCUUUCCAUUUUCAUUUCUUAGUAGAUCAUAAAAGAUCCUUAAAACACUAUAAGGCACUUUCUCUAUUUUCAUGCUCGUUAGAUUCGAUAGAGUACAUCGAUUUAUACUAGUAGAUUAAGAGCUGAUGGAGCGUAUCGUCGGCGGCAAGUACAAGCUUGGCCGGAAGAUCGGAAGUGGAUCCUUCGGUGAAAUCUAUCUCGCUACACAUAUCGAUACGUUUGAGAUCGUCGCUGUUAAGAUUGAGAACACUAAAACAAAGCAUCCGCAGUUGCUUUACGAAGCCAAGUUGUACAAUCUUCUUCAAGGAGGCAGUGGUAUUCCCAGCAUAAAAUGGUCAGGUGUUGACGGGGAGGAGAAUAUACUGGUGCUUGAUUUGCUAGGGCCGAGCCUCGAGGACUUGUUUGUGUAUUGUGGGAGGAAGUUCUCGCUGAAGACGGUGUUGAUGUUGGCUGAUCAAAUGAUUACAAGGAUAGAAUACGUGCACUCUAAAGGAUUUCUGCAUAGAGAUAUUAAACCUGAUAACUUCCUAAUGGGUCUUGGGCGGAAAGCAAAUCAGGUUUACAUUAUUGAUUUUGGCCUCGCAAAAAGAUAUCGAGAUGCCACUACCAACCGCCAUAUUCCUUACAGGGAGAAUAAAAACUUGACAGGAACUGCACGUUAUGCCAGUUGCAAUACUCACCUUGGAAUUGAGCAGAGCCGGCGGGAUGAUCUUGAGUCACUUGGCUAUGUUCUAUUAUAUUUUCUGAGAGGAAGCCUUCCUUGGCAGGGACUGAAAGCUGCCACAAAGAAGCAGAAAUAUGACAAAAUAUGUGAAAAGAAAUUAUCAACUCCUAUCGAGGUUUUAUGCAAAUCUCAUCCAGUGGAGUUUGCAUCAUACCUACAUUAUUGUCACUCUCUGACAUUUGAUCAGAGACCUGAUUAUGGAUUCUUGAAGCGCCUGUUCCGAGAUCUUUUUGCCCGUGAAGGAUAUGAAUUUGAUUAUGUGUUUGAUUGGACCAUCAUAAAGUACCAGCAGACGCAAAAGAGUAGAACUCAACCUCGUUUAUCUCCUGUUCCUGGUGCAAGUAGCAGCCAUGUGGUGCCAACAGAUAUGGAGAAUCAUCAAGGAAGCAGUAAUGCUCCCUAUUCCUCUGAUAUCAUUCGAUCUGGCGGUCCUGGUGUACGCAUGCAAUUCAAAACAGCAAUGGGCAAGAACUUGGGCUCUGAUAAUCAUGUUGAUAAAAAUGUUGUAACAGAUGCACACAUCUCAUCCAAUUCAUUUUCACUUGUUGGGACCUCAAAAAGAAAUGCCUCAAAACCAGUUUUGCCCGCUGAAGCUGGAAAUCCCAGUCAGGGACACAGCAGUAAAAUUGGUCCUUCAUCUAGCUGGAUCUCGUCAUUGCAGCGCAUUCAUUCUGCUAAGUGAUUUAAUGUGCUACGGAUCUGGUCAAGAGGAUUCUAGUGAUGCAUCUAUUGGAGGCAGCAAAACCUUUUGGUGACUGGUGUCAUGCUUUCAGCUAUUUAUCUGUUAAGAAGUUUCUGAUGAUGCUUUUAAGGGGCUCCAAUGUGCUUUGUUCUAUUAUAAAAAGCAGCUCAUUAUUUUUUUCACUUAAGGAUCAUAUUAGUUACCCUAUUUUCCUAGCUUUGUAAAGGAUUCUUUUUCUCCUACAGCCAUGCAUGCCUGAUGGAUGAAUAGAAUACAUGGGUGCUCAUCUAGGAAGACAGAUCAUGGAACAAGGUGUUAAAAGGAUACUGAUUUUGGUGCUACUGUUUAUGUGGGUCUAGAACAUUGCAGGUUGUGAACACACGGCUAUGCUGUAUGCUUGAUUCAAGAGAGAUUAGCUAACUAGUUUUGUUCUCAUAUGAAGUAGAAUGUAAGCCUGUGCUGGCUACAUCCAAGAAAACAUGAAAAAAUUCCCAUUUAAGGUGGCUUGUUUGCUUAUGCUGCAAGAUAACAAGUUGGCAAUAUUCUUCCAGUCAUGACUUCAACCAAAGCAGCAUAUCAAAGUUUCUGGUGGGAAGAUGAUUAGUGCAAUGUUCCUUUGUUUAUUUGGUUUAUUUGUUAUACUGGGAAAAUUACUUCCUAUAUGGCAAUAUUCUACAGAGAUUUGUUCUUGGGAGGAAAGCUGUCUCCAGCUUGCCCAGUGCGUUGCAUUGCUUUUUGAUGGUAGGUUUGUCAGGUGAGGGAAAUUAAUGGGCUUCUAUGGAAAGCAUGUUACCCUGGAUUUCAUUAGUUUUAGAUACUUAUAUAGAAUUCUGUUAAUGAGACCUUCUGGCAUGUCAUAUUUUCUGGUUUGAUGGCUAGUCUAGGUUUGGAAUCCUUAGCCGCUGUUGAAAUGAUAUAUAAGUCCAGUUAUUGAGAUCAGAAACUUAUAUUAUGGAUGUAUAGCUCCCUUAUGUCAUUGUAUAGUGUACUUCCAAAGAAAUCUAUUACUCGACCUGUCUGUUUGGAAAAGAUUAGGUGCUUUGUUAUGAAUGUCAUGAUGGUGCAGGUAUGAAUAUCUCAAGCUUGCAAGUUUAUCAGUUCUGACUUCAACCAUUUAUGCAGCCUUGUUAAUGGGAUUGCCCAGGAUUAGAUAAUCCCAUGAUUUUUAUCAGUGGACUAUGUGUUUCUAUGGUAAGCCUCCUUUUGUUUAUUCUCCAUUUGUUUUAUCUAUUCAAGAAUUCCAAGCUAAGCUCCUGUGUGUAUGCAACUACAAUGAGUUUGAAAGUAAAGGACGAGUUUAUUUUUAAGGGAUCCAAGAAAUAUCAGAGGCCUUGAACGGAUGAUAGGCUUUCAGAUUCAGAGCCAUCUAUUUGAUUUGUUAAUGCAACCUGGAUUUAUAUAAUUUUGACCUGCCGGUUCUUGGAAUUGGCUUCUCCACAAUAUUCUAUUGGCUAUGCUAUCAUUAUCAGGUACGUGUCAGUUUGAUCUAUUUGGGAAAGCUGAUAGCCGCAGGAAAUGUGGGUAUGUAUCAGAGAAUUAGAGUCCUCAUGUUUUCAGAAGCUUGCUAUUUGUCGUUAUUAUUGCAUAUGUUCGUUUAAGCUGGAAAUCUUGACCAUGGUGAUGGUUCACCAUGGAUCCUCAGUUUACGAUGGAUUGAAGUCCCAAUUAGCUCUCAAUGGAACAGAGUUGAUGUAAGACUCGAAUGAAUUUAUUGGGAUGUAUGGAUCAGUCAGAGAACACUUUUUCUCCUGCUCAAAA